rnacentral:lncRNA from 1 species
AUCCCGACUAAGUGGCCGUCCUGGGAGUUAUAGUGCCACUAGCCGGCCUCGGCUGUUCCCUGUCCGAGGCUCUUGUCAUUUCCGCUUAUUUCCUCCACGGGUGCCGAUUUCAUGUGUGUGUUCCCGAGUGCCUGAGCCGGCUCCCGAAAUGAGUACUCGUGGUUUCCGCGUGGGAACCAACCUCGAGCGCCAGUGGCCCGCCCUCUCCGGGCUGAGGUGGCUGCUGAGGCUGGGGCUGCUCCUGAGGCUUCAGGGCCGCCCGCUGCACGGCUUUCUACCUUCCCAGGUUAGCCGCGGUCAACUUCUGCCAGGCGGAGCGAGAAAUCGCAUUUUGUCAGUUUUAACAAAACAGAAAUGUGUAAAAAUUUGUGUAAAAUCUUACGAUCGAGACCAAAUGGACAAGCUGGCUUUUUUUGAAGAAAGUAAUACGACUGAAUUACUAGCAUCAUUGCUGUAACACUCACCGUGAAGGUCUGAAGCUUUACUCUGGAAGCCAGUGAGACCAGGAACCCACCGGGAGGAAUGAACGACUCCAGACACACCGCCUUAAGAUCUGUGACACUCACCGCGAAGGUCUGCAGCUUCAUUCCUGAUCCAGCGAGACCAUGAACCCACCAGAAGGAAAAAACUCCGGACACAUCCGAACGUCUAGAAGAAACAAACUCCAGACACACCGCCUGUAAGAACUGUAACGGUCACCGCGAGGGUCCGCGGUUUCAUUCUUGAAGUCAGUGAGACCAAGAACCCACCAUUUCUGGACACACUACCAUGCCAGAGAUCCAGGGGCUGCAGCAUGCUGAAAGAAAACAGAAGCCUGUGGAGUGAGCCAAGAUCAACCAGGAAAUAAACCCUUUCCCUUGCGAUGUCUCUCCAGCGCCCUCUACUGACAAACCUGCUUUAGUGCCAGUUUGUAGAGAAUUGUCUUUGCUGAUCUCUUUAUUAUGAUGAAAAUUCUCUGGAUGGAAGGGUCAUCAGCUGCCGUCUCCUUUGCUACUCUGCUAGAUAUCCUUACAAUUUGGUUUAGAAUUUUAGUACCACUAACAUUUUUUGGUGCAUAUUUUGGAAAUAAAGAAAAGGUAAACUCUUAAAAUACUGCUUUUGGCCACUGAGCGAUGACUGAAAUAAUACCUCAGUGUAUAUAUUACACAUGAAAUACAAAAAGUCCCACUGGAGAAAACUACAGAGAAUAAUCAUUUUGGAAUAAAAGAUACUUUAAAAAAUUAAGUAAAGGACAGUAACACUUUCAAAGACAUUAAUGCAUUUCCUACAUUAUCAAUUGUUUAUACUGCCUUUUACCUCUGAUGAACCAAAUUAAAAGGACAUAUUGUAGAAAGGCUGACAUCAGCCAACUCAGGAAACUAAUAGGGUUAUACAGUGGGAUAAGGAAGUCAAGAUGUAGUCCAAGGAAUGGGGCUAUUCGGUUUACAGAUUUGAAGUUAGCCUAUUCCACAUAUCGGAGAAAGGUAUAGGAUACCAAAAAGUCUCAAUGAGGCCACACAGCCAAAAAACUCUUCAAGGAUAUAGCAUGAGAUUGCAGAGGAAAUGUUGGAAAAGACAAAAUGGGAGGUGGAGUUCCACAGAGAGCAGCAAAAAGAAAAUUUUCUGAAAACUAUUGACACAUUCUUAGACAAAUUCUAAGAGAGAACUUUUGGACAUUUUAGAUUAUUUUGCAUUAGAAUAGUCACUGGUAAAUCUUUCCAGUCUCUCCCUUGGAAAUUAUAAAAAAGGAUAAAUAUCCUCAUUGAUUGUUUAGCUGUGUGUCACUUAGUAUGGUGCCACUGGUCGCAUGUGGCUGUUGAGCACCUGAAAUGUGGCUGUCGGAAUUGAGAUGGGCUCUAUGUGGAAAAUACACACCAGAUUUUGAACACUUAGAACAACGACAAAGAUAACGUAAAAUAUUUGCUCAAUAAUUUUAUAUUAACACAAGUAUAAAUCAUAAUAUUUGGACAUGUUAGAAUAAAUAAAAUAUGAUGUUAAAAUUAAUUCCAUCUGUUUCUUUUUACUUUUUUAAGGGGGGCUACUAAAAAAUUUAGAACUACACAUGUGGCUUGCAUUAUACUUCCAUUGCACAGCACUGGCCUAGCCCCUGCCCACAUGACUGCUUUUUGUUAUUUUCUUUAUACUAUUGUUGUUUUCUCAAAGCUGCCUUUGAGAAAAAUGCUCCUGUAAAUAUUCCAUGCCCUCUUCAGAUUCAAGAUUCUGUUUUGUGAUAAUAUCUGUAUAGAUGUUUUUCAGUUUCAUUUCAUUCUGAUUCUCACUUCAUUUAUUUCCGAGCAGAUUAGUUGUCCAGUUCAGACAAACCAGAUCCCCUGUCAGAUUCCUCCAUAGAACUUCUUUACAAAACCACUUCUUGGCAUCAUAAUUGGUGGCAUUUUCCCCUUCGGCUGUAUUUUUAUUCAACUCUUUUUCAUUCUGAACAGUAUUUGGUGAGUAUUACAUCUUCAUAAUCUUAAAAGUGUUAGUUUUUAGUAAAUUAACAUUCCUAUAGUUUAAGGAGGUUAAAUUCUGAUAUGAUAAUACUUCAUUUACCUCCCUUUAUCCAGUAAAUAACAAUCUGACCUAGAAGAAUUUCCUAGAGAACCGAGACUUAAUUCAUGACUUUAAAAAUAUUUAUUUUUAAUUUUUGUGGGUACACAGUAGGUGUAUAUAUUUAUGGGGUACAUGAGAUGUUUUGAUACAGGCAUGCAGUGCAUAAUAAUCACAUCUAUGGAGAACGAGGUAUCCAUCCCCUCAAGCAUUUAUCCUUUGUGUUUCAAACAAUACAAUUAUACUCUUUUAGUUAUUUUAAAAUGUACAAUUAAAUUAUUAUUGACUGUAGUCACCCUGUUGAAUUCACAAUUUUUAAAAGGCACGUUUUGAUGGAAAUAUUUAUAAAGAUUUACUUUUUUGGCUGGGCGCAGUGGUUCACACCUAUAAUUCCAGCACUUUGGGAGGCUGAAGCAGGUGGAUCACUUGAGGUGGGGCGUUCGAGACCAGCCUGGCCAACAUGGUGAAACCCCAUCUCUACUAAAAAUACAAAAAUUAGCCGGACGUGGUGGUGACUGUCUGUAAUCCCAGCUACUAGACAGGCUGAGGCAUGAGAAUCACUUGAACCCGGGAGGUGGAGGUUGCAGUGAGCUGAGAUCGUGCCACUGCACUCCAGCUUGGGCGACAGAGUGAGACUCCAUCUCAAAAAACAAACAAACAAAACAAAACAAAAAAAAAAACAAGCUGCAAAGUAGAUGAUACUAACCAUAUUUUCCAGAUGUUCUUGAUGGGAAAGUAGUUUUAAAAUGGAAACUGAAAGGUUUUUCAGACAAUUAACUUUCAUUUCAGUGAAAAGCAAUGUGCUUGUUUUUUAUUUUACUUUUGUUUUUUAUUUUUUUGAGACAGGGUCUCACUCUGUCACCCAGGCUGGAGUGCAGUGGUGCGAUGUCGGUUCACUGCAACCUCCACCUGCCUCCCAGGUUCAAGCAAUUCUCGUGUCUCAGCCUCUUGAGUAGCUGGGACUACAGGCGUGCACCACUAUGCCCAGCUAAUUUUUGUAUUUUCGGUAGAGACAGGGUUUCAACAUGUUGGCCAGGCUGGUCUUGAAGCAAUGUAUUUGUUGCAUACAACUUUGUAUAAAUUUAUUAUCUAGGGAGAUGCUUCUCAAUACUCAUCCCUCACUCUCAUACUCAGGUAUAUAUUUUACAUGACAUUUUUAGGUGGCGUAUUGAUCGGUUCAUCAAUUUCUUUUUAUUUCCAAAAGGCUUUUUAAAAUGGAUGUUGUGGCUGGGUGUGGUGGCUCAUGCCUUUAAUCCCAGCAUUUUGGGAGUCUGAGGCAGGGGGAAUCACUUGAGGCCAGGAGUUCAAGGCCAGCCUUGGGCAACAUAGCAAGAUCCUGUCUCUACAAAUGAAAUAAAAUAAAAUAAAAAAUUAGCCAAGCAUGGUGGCACGUGCUUGGCUAAAAAAUUAGCCAAGCAUGGUAGCCUGUAAGUUCCAGCUACUUGAGAGGCUAAGGCAGGAGGAUCACUUGAACUCAGGAGGUUGAGACUGCAGUGAGCUGUGAUUGCACCACCGCACUCUAGCCUGGGUGAUGGAGUGAGACCCUGUCUCUAAAGUAUUAGUUAAUUAAUUGGAAUGGGCAUUGAUCAUCCCAACUUAGCUCAGGUCUAUAAUAACCAAGAGAGUUAACUGCAUUCUUUCAAAGUUUCACCUAGAUGUAAUCCACACACAGAUUUUUUUAAAAGGCACAUUUGAAAGUAUAUUUAAUAGAAUUAUGUGUGCUGUGCUAUAAAGACAUAUUUGGAAAAGGUGAAUGUCAACAGGCUUUCUAAGGCAAAAGUGGUAUUUGAAUCUGGUUUUCUGUUUUAUGAUGUCGUUGUUGGUAUUUAUGGCAUUUGCAGCCUUCAAUUUCUAAAGAGAAUGUUUUUAAAUAUGUAUGGAGAAAAUUAUGGUGAUAUUGAUGAGUCUCAAGUGAGAACUAACUUAUAUGACCAGAGAAACAUGGGUAAGUAGCAGCACUGGUUCUGACUAGAGAAGAUACGGCCAAACUCUGAAACUGCAUAGGUAAGGGACUAUUUUUUGGUACUUAAAGGAUAAGUGGAGAUUUGGAAUACAGAGUUGAAUGUUUAGGGGAAAAAAAGAAAAAAAAAGGUUUAGAGAAGUGUAUGACUGUCUAUUGUAUAGAUUUGGAUUGAUCUUUCUGUGUGUACUGUUAAGUUAAAGUUUAUUUAAACCUCUUAUUUUUAUUUUCAGGUCUCAUUAGCUGUACUACAUGUUUGGCUUCCUUUUCUUAGUCUUUAUAAUUCUUGUGAUUACUUGCUCAGAAGUUACAGUUUUGCUGUAUUAUUUUCAUUUAUGUGCUGAGGUAAAGCCAUAAGAAACUAAUGCAUUUGCUAUACUUGCAUUAUUGGAAUUGGAAGUCUGUGUUUAGAAAAGAAUUGAAAUAAAUGAUAACUGCAUGUUUCUACAACUUGGGAUCAGUUUUAUAUUGUGUUUUCCUAUUAACACAUUUUGACUUUGAUGUGGCUGUCAAGUUAAGGCUGCUUUGAUGGAAAAUUUAAAUAGAAAGUUAUUUCUCUUUGGCUGGUUAUUGUAAUUGCUGCAUGAUAUUCAGUUAACAGAAAAAUAUAAGGGACUGAUUUAAUAUUUAUCAAGUUCAAUGAUAUUUCCUUUUCUUUUUUUGAGACAGGGUUUCACUCUGUCGCCCAGGCUGGAGUGCAGUGGUGCAAUCUCGGCUUAUUGCAAUCUCUGCCUCCUGGGUUCAAGCGAUUCUCAUGCCUCAGCCUCUCUAGUAGCUGUAGUAGCUGGGAUUACAGGUGACCACCACCACACACAGCUAAUUUUUGUGUUUUUAGUAGAGACGAGGUUUUGCCAUGUUGCCCAGCCUGGUCUUGAACUCCUGGGCUCAAGUGAUCCACUCUCCUUGGCUUCCCAAACAGCUGAGAUUACGGGCAUGAGCCACCACGCCCGGCUGAUGUUUUCUUUUUAACAAUUAAAUUUUUUCUUUGCAGCUUAAGCCAGCAUUCUGGUUUGUUGGUUUGAGAUAGUGGCUAAAGGUCCUUUCUCUUCUUUCAUUUUAUUGCCUUUUGGUUACCACAGACACAAUAGUUCUUUUUACCCCAGUCCCAUUUUCCCCCGAUAUCAUUCUGGAUAACUGAGCUGGUAGUGUACAUUGUUCUCUUAAAUCCCCUAAAUCCGUUUUAUUUUGGUAGUUAAAUAUGACUCUUCAAAGAUAACAGACAAUAGAGGGUUCAGGGAAUGAUUCUUAUAUACAUGUUUUCUUAGACAUUUUCUUCUUGUGCUAUUGGUAUAGAGGUACAAAAUAUAACUAUAUAUAUACUUAAAUAUACUUAUGUAGUAUAUUUAUACUUAGCUGGUGUAUUAGUUCAUUUUCACACUGCUGAUAAAGACAUACCCAAAACUGGGAACAAAAAGAGGUUUAAGUGGACUUACAGUUCCGCAUGGCUGGGGAGGCCUCAGAAUCACGGCGGGAGGCGAAAGGCACUUCUUACAUAGCAGCAAGAGAAGAAUGAGGAGGAAGCAAAAGCAGAAACCCCUGAUAAACCCAUCAGAUCUCAUGAGACUUAUUCACUAUCACGAGAAUAGCAUGGGAAAAACAGGCUGCCAUGAUUCAAUUACCUCCCCCUGGGUCCCUCCCACAACUGGGAGAUACAAUUCAAGUUGAGAUUUCAGUGGGGACACAGCCAAAUCAUAUCAGCUGGUCAUUAUUAGUAUGGUACAUUUUGCCUUAGAGAAUCUGCAGCAAUCAUUAAUGAGGCAUACAACAAUAAGCAUAUAAUGGAUAUGUUUUUAUUCCUAAGAAAAUGUUUUAGGGGGUCCUGAAGACUACCCACAUGUUUGGUGACUCACUAGAAGGACUCGUGGGACUGGGCAUACAGAUGCAUACAUGGGUAGGCUACAGAAAGGAUGCCCACAGGAUCAGUGAGGGAAAAAGACAGGUGGAGCCUGGAGAAAUCCAGGCGCAGCCUUCCUAUGUUGUUCCCUCCCAUUAGAGAGCACACUGAGUAUGCUUCUUUCUCCAGCAGUGAGAAAUGCAGUAAUAAAUAUGCAAUGUUCUGCCCAGGGAAGCCCGUUAGAGAUUUCAGCAUCCAAGGUUUUUAUGGGGAGUAGUCACAUAGGCACCCUCUGCCUAGCAACUACAAAAUUCCGGACUCCCCAAAGGAAAGCAAGUAUCGACCAUAAAUCACAUUGUCUGUACAGUCUAGGCAUAGCAAACCAGUCUACAUCAGUCAGGAAAUGACUAAAUGCCAAAUUCCCAGAUGCAAACCAAGGGCCAACCUGGCAAGCAGGCUUUUUUUUUUUUUUUUUUUUUUAAUUGAUCAUUCUUGGGUGUUUCUCACAGAGGGGGAUUUGGCAGGGUCAUAGGACAAUAGUGGAGGGAGGGUCAGCAGAUAAACAAGUGAACAAAGGUCUCUGGUUUUCCUAUGCAGAGGACCCUGCGGCCUUCCGCAGUGUUUGUGUCCCUGGGUAGUUGAGAUUAGGGAGUGGUGAUGACUCUUAACGAGCACGCUGCCUUCAAGCAUCUGUUUAACAAAGCACAUCUUGCACCACCCUUAAUCCAUUUAACCCUGAGUGGACACAGCACAUGUUUCAGAGAGCACAGGGUUGGGGUUAGGGUCACCGAUCAACAGGAUCACAAGGCAGAAGAAUUUUUCUUAGUACAGAACAAAAUGAAAAGUCUCCCGUGUCUACCUCUUUCUACACAGACAUGGCAACCAUCCGAUUUCUCAAUCCUUUCCCCGCCUUUCCCCCCUUUCUAUUCCACAAAACCGCCAUUGUCAUCAUGGCCAGUUCUCAAUGAGCUGUUGGGUACACCUCCCAGACGGGGUGGUGGCUGGGCA